rnacentral:misc_RNA from 1 species
UCAAGAUCAAAACAGAAGAGAAGAAGAUAGACAAGAAGCUUGUGGAGGGCUUGGUCUUAGAGAAGAGAUUAGAGGAUCUUUGGUUAGGUCGGAUCUGGAGCUUGACGGGAUCCAUUUGAUUGUUGGGUUUAGAAUAGACCCGAGUGCGGGCGUGCGAUCUUCGCAUCAAAGAAAAGGGACUGAAUUGGAGAGCAAAAGAGAAUCAUAUGAUUAU